UACGAAGGGGGCUAGCGUUGCUCGGAAUUACUGGGCGUAAAGGGCGCGUAGGCGGUCCGGUAAGUCCGCUGUGAAAGUCAAGGGCUCAACCCUUGAAUGCCGGUGGAUACUGUCGGGCUAGAGUCCGGAAGAGGCGAGUGGAAUUCCUGGUGUAGCGGUGAAAUGCGCAGAUAUCAGGAGGAACACCCGUGGCGAAAGCGGCUCUCUGGGACGGUACUGACGCUGAGACGCGAAAGCGUGGGGAGCAAACAGG
rnacentral:rRNA from 1 species